rnacentral:rRNA from 1 species
GUCUUAUUGAUAUUAAUUAUAAGUCAAUUCUGCCCAUUGAAAAUUUUAAAAGGCUGCGGUAACCUGACCGUACAAAGGUAGCAAAAUCAAUUGUUUUUUAAUUGAAAACUGGAAUGAAAGAAUUAAUGAAAUAAAAAUUGUUUCGAUUUUAAAUAUUGAAUUUAAAGUUUAAGUUAAAAUACUUAAAUAUUUUUAUUAGACAAGAAGACCCUAUAGAAUUUUAUAAAAUUUAUAUUAAAUAAUUAAAUUAUAAAAUUAAGGAUUUAGUAUAAUUAUAUUUUAUUGGGAGGAUAAUUAAAUUAAUAAAACUUUAAUUUUAUUAGAACAUAGAUUAAUGAAUAAAUGAUUAUUAUUAUAAUUAAAAGAAUAAAUUACCUUAGGGAUAACAGCGUAAUAUUUUUGGAGAGAUCAUAUUGAUAGAAAUGUUUGCGACCUCGAUGUUGAAUUAUGAUAUAAUUUAAAUGCAGCAGUUUAAAUUGUUAGUCUGUUCGACUAUUAAAAUCAUACA